rnacentral:hammerhead_ribozyme from 1 species
AUCUAGUUGACGAAUCCCAAAUAGGACAUAACACUCGUCCUGGAU